GAUGAACGCUGGCGGCGUGCCUAAUACAUGCAAGUCGAGCGAAAAGAUGAGGAGCUUGCUCCUCUGACGUUAGCGGCGGACGGGUGAGUAACACGUGGAUAACCUACCUAUAAGACUGGGAUAACUUCGGGAAACCGGAGCUAAUACCGGAUAAUAUAUUGACCCGCAUGGUUCAAUAGUGAAAGACGGUUUUGCUGUCACUUAUAGAUGGAUCCGCGCCGCAUUAGCUAGUUGGUAAGGUAACGGCUUACCAAGGCAACGAUGCGUAGCCGACCUGAGAGAGUGAUAGGCCACACUGGAACUGAGACACGGUCCAGACUCCUACGGGAGGCAGCAGUAGGGAAUCUUCCGCAAUGGGCGAAAGCCUGACGGAGCAACGCCGCGUGAGUGAUGAAGGUCUUCGGAUCGUAAAACUCUGUUAUUAGGGAAGAAAAAAUGUGUAAGUAACUAUGCACGUCUUGACGGUACCUAAUCAGAAAGCCACGGCUAACUACGUG
rnacentral:rRNA from 1 species